UCUUCCUCUUCCUGCCUGUUAGUCAUGGGAAUGUUCGCCACGAUUUUUAGCUUUGGUUUAGUUCUCAGAUCGAUCAGGAUUCCAAAACUCAAAUUAGUUUUCAGAUCAAUCAGUGCUGCAAUUCUGAAAUUAACGGAGCCCAGUUGGUUAGUAAGUUGUGUUGUGUUCAAUUUUAGUAAGUUAUGUCAAUUGGUUCCCCAAAAAUUUGAGAUUUAGUUCAUUAUUUGUAUUUAAUUUGAUUUUGAUUCAUUAUUUGUAUCAAAUUUUAUAAUUGAUUAAAAAGGGUUCGUUAAAUUUUAGCCAAGGUUUAUGUUUCAUAUUAUGCUAUAGUGAUCCUGAUUUUGACCUAAUUGGUAGUGGCAUGUGCAUAUUAGCCUGAUUGUGUCCUCCCACAUCAGUGUUCCAUUACGAUAUAUAGCCGCUUUGUUUUCUUCUUUACGUUUUUUUUCGUUUGCAGUUACAAUCUUCUUGCGGUAACCAAAGGAACUGCAUGGUUCUUUUAGCCUUUCAUCUUCCUUUUUGUAAUAAAUUUAUGGUUUCAAUCCUAAUUCGUGUUUUAUUUGAAAACUAACAACAGUUUUAUUUUUCGUCCAUUAAUUGUCUUGGCAUUGAAAGAAUGAGGAGGUGCAUCCUAUAUAAAGGUCACCAGAUUUUCAAAGGCACUUCACACUUAAACGCCACAUUUCCAGAGCAUCUACCUCCAUCUUCCCUCUAAUGAACUUCUCAGCCACAGUAAUCCCAGUUUGUCAAAAUGGCUUAUACAGUAGUGCAUAGCUCCGGCUAAGGCGUACGGGCUCCCGCAAUCCUCACGUUGAAAGAAUUUCAGUUGAAAAAUGGUAUUGGACCAUGGAUGGCCCGAGUUCGCAUCGUCCGAAUGUGGCACUAGCUGGACUUCAUGAGAACUAAUGAUGUUACCAUCCUAGAUUUGCUCCUGUUAGAUGACACCGAUGAUCUGAUGUACGUAAUUGUUCAGAAAAAAUACAUCUGGAAAUUUGAACCACUUCUAGAAGAGGGGGUGCUGCUGGGUCUUACCAAUUUGACAUUUGCACCAGAGAAAAAAAAUGUUUCGCCCUUCCCAGAAUGACUACCGCGCGUACUUUAACUGGAAUACCGAUGUUACUCCCCUUGAUACCACUACCCACCUAUUCCUUGCCAUAAAUUUUUUCCACAGAGUUUGAAGCACUUGCAGUUGCUACCACCAACACGUUACCAAGAUGUAGUAGGUGUGUCAACCAGCCACACAAACUUGCAACAACUUAAGCGAAGUUCCGGCGAUGUAUGUUUCAUGCGCGAACUAACACUCGAUAACAUAAGUGGCAUGAAACUUAAGGUCACGCUAUGGGGUGACUCAACUUCCGAGUUAACCAGAAACCUUGAAGCCCAUGAAAUGAAUCUGAAACCCAUUGUGGCUGUCGUUGCUGGUGCCUAUGUCAAGCAAUAUCUAGGCCAGGCCUCUCUUUCCUCAACUAAUGCGACCAAAAUUUACUUUGACCUGGAUAUUCCAAAGGUCUUGCAUGUUACAGAAAGGUCUUCCCACCGAACACCGCCACGUGGAAUUACCCUCCCGACUAGAGCUGGGUACUAUCAGGCAAACCAAUCCGUUACUGACACCAAAAAGACAAUUUCCGAAUUGCAGGAAACAAAGUGGGAAUCUGGGUACAAUGUACUAAACAAAACAAAAAAGUAUGCAAAGCCAAGGCUAUUGGUAUUUCCACCGAGAAAUGAUGGUACUACCUAGGGUGUCACAAUUGCACAACUAAAUUGGUGGAAAAUAUAGGAGACCAUUGGUUCCCUAGAUGCAAGGUCCAGAUAGACGAACUAGUACCCAGAUACCUUCUGCGAUUGGAAGUUCAAGACCCUACAAGUACCGCCUUUUUUAUAGCCAUGGAUACUGAAGUUUAAAAAAUGGUCCAGAUACCAACAUUGGAUGUUGUGGCUAAGAGCGAGGUUGAGGGAUUUGCGAUGGUGCAGACCUCCUUUGAACCACUCAUUGGUGUCUUGCAGGAUUACCUCAUAAUGGUAAAUCCGUAUAACAUGAAAUAUCGCGAUACCCCAAGCUUCACUAUAGCAAAGUUGCCUUCGCCCCCUCCAGCACCAACUCCAAACAUAUCUGCCCAAAAUUCCGGAGAAUGGCUAUCAAUAAAAAGGGCUUAAUUGCUAUCCAAAACAUGCGGAUACACUUAUAAUUAAGCCCUAGACAAGAAAUCUUACACUCUUACAAUGGUGUGAAUUUUGUGUAUCGACUAUCAAGAUACUCCAACCAAAACUGCAGAAUCAGGGGCAAGUGGGAGAACCGGAGAAGGUACCAAGACUGUUAGCAGCAUUAUGCGACCCACCAACUUUUCAAGGAGAGUAUUCAGCCUCAUGGGAGAUAGUAAGUUCUUUUCAACCAUAGUACGGUAUACUUGGUUGGCCAAGGAACAUAUAUUUACUCUUCCAAAUAAUACAUUCAAAAGCAUUUGGAUAAAGCUUAUUCCACAUAUAGUUUAGUUUUUCAUAUGGUCUCCACUGCAAAACCCAUUCUUUCUGUUGACAAUAUAAAAAAAAGAGGUUGCUAGA